rnacentral:tRNA from 1 species
GCCUGGGUGGCUCAGUCGGUUAAGCGUCUGACUUCAGCUCAAGUCAUGAUCUCAGAGUUCAUGGGUUCGAGCCCCACAUCGGGCU